rnacentral:lncRNA from 1 species
UUGUAUAUUUCCUUCUGAACCUACUACAGAGAAAGAAAUCACUGCUUCCAGAAAAUGUGUUAUGCUCUUAAGAUCCCAGGCAAGGUGAAGGCUGCUGUUGUGGUAGAGGCUGAUGACCAUUGGCAGACAGCAUGAUCUUAACAGAGAGCUUGGAAGAGAGCUCGAGAAUGAUUAAAACGCUGCCCGCAGGCUGCAGGGAGAGGCUCAGGCUGAAGCCCUGACUCUGGAUGGGUGCAGAGGGCCCCCUCAGGGGCCUCUGGGCUGUCAAGGAUCUAGUCCAAAUCUUCUUGAUGAGUUUCACGCGCUCGAGGGCGCGCGCGGAGAGCUCCAGGAAGGAGCUGGCGGUCUGCACUGAAGGACCAAGGGCACGCGGGUCCAAAAGCACCCAGCUUGGUUCUUCUCCCGGGCCAUGGAGGCUUCCACAGCACCCAGGGUCUUGCCUCACUCAUCAUGGGACGGCGCCUGCAGGUUCUGGAAGAGGGGCCUGUGCCACACUGGUUUGGCAUCUUGCAGGAAUGCUGGGCGCCCUGGCACUUCUCGGCUGGUCGGUGGACAUGCCCACUCCUCCCAAGGCACCGAGUCACGGGGCAAAUAGAGGCGCUGGGAGAGACCGCCUUUCUGUACUUGGUGGGAGACUUGUUUACCAGAAGCACCUGAGUUUUAUAUCUUAA